GUGUUCGGGGUAAUUGGUUAUGACCAAUUUACUCUUAGAUUAAUGUUUACUUAAGUACCAAUUUAGUAGGUAAAAAGUAUUUUAAUUAAGUUUUUUUUUUUGGCUUUAGUAGUGAUGUUUGUGUUGGUGAUACUAGUAGAUAAUAUUAGAAUGCAUUAGUUUAGUUGAUAGACUUAGGAAAAUCAAGAAGAAGAAAAAACACAAUCUCUCUCUCUCUCUCUCUCUCUCUCUCUCUCUCUCUCUCUCUCUCUCUCUCUCUCUCUCUCUCUCUCUCUCUCUCUCUCUCUCUCUCUCUCUCUCUCUCUCUAUCUCUCUCUCUCUCUCUCUACUUGGGUAAGGAAGGACCAAGAGACUCAAUUCUAGCCAAAUUUUUCAAACCCUUUCUCAUCAAUUUCCUCAAGGUUUUCAGUUGAGUUUAAGGUAGAAUCGUGGAAGAUAUGAUCAAGGUUUUGGUUGAGAGAUCAAGCUUGAGUUCAUGAGAACUCAAGCUUGAGCUCUAAUGGCAGAUUUGGAUAGAUGGAGUUUUGUGUUGCUUGAGUUGUGUUAUCUGUUGUAUUGAUGUUAAUAGGCUAUCAUAGAGAAUGUGGUUGAAAUUGGUUGAGUUCUGGUUGGUUUGUGAAGUUUAAAGUUCAAUGCAAAGAGUCAUUACUCUAAAUUGAGACCGUAGUGACAUUGGAUGUCUGGUUAGGCUUAUCAAGGUUGUCUCAUUAGGCAACAGUAGAUAGGCUUACUUUAUGAGGUAACCAUUACAGCUUGUCUUAUUAGACAUAUAAUUGUGUAGCUUUGAAUUAUUUUACAUAUGUGAUUAUUUAUACUACUUAUAUGUAAUUGAUUGGAAUUACUUGUAUGUCGGCAUGUGAUUAUUGCUUUACUUUUCUCGAUGAGUCGUUGUAACUCACAAGUACUUUUUAAUACAAGUAAGGGCAAUGGUAAAUUAGGGCAGCCAUGAGUUAGCAUUCAUCUUCGAUAGAUGUACAUUUCAAUCUAUCCGGAUUGCAGAGCUGAGUUGUCAGGGAAUAUUUUGGUGUUGUAUCUGUAUAGUAUUUUGGAUAAAAAUUCCGUAUUAAACCUUUUGUAAAACUUUUGUAACAGGAGAUCUUUGAAACGAAAUAUUUAUUGAUGUAACCUUUUUAUUUUAAAA